GCUUGUCUCAAAGAUUAAGCCAUGCAUGUCUAAGUGUAAAUACGUCUACACUGUGAAACUGCGAAUGGCUCAUUAAAUCAGUUAUCGUUUAUUUGAUGAUCUCUUGUUACAUGGAUAACCGUAGUAAUUCUAGAGCUAAUACAUGACUCAAAGACCGACUUACGAAGGUCUGUGUUUAUUAGAUGGAAACCAAAGCGGGGAAACCCGGAUUUAUGGUGAUUCAUAAUAACCCUCCGAUCGGCUAUGCCGACGCAUCAUUCAAGUUUCUGCCCUAUCAGCUUUGGACGGUAGGGUAUUGGCCUACCGUGGCUUUAACGGGUAACGGAGAAUUAGGGUUCGAUUCCGGAGAGGGAGCCUGAGAAAUGGCUACCACAUCCAAGGAAGGCAGCAGG
rnacentral:rRNA from 1 species